GAAAAUCAAAUUAGUUUGCAGUGUGUGUUAUAUACUGUUUACGUCGAGUAUAUCGCUGUCGGUCGCUAGAGAGAACACUAGCUGGCCAGAGCAGUGUACUGUUGAUUAGGGCUCCCUGGAUGGACGUUUCCUGUUGGCAUCAUGCUCUAGCUAGUCUGCUGACUAGCGAGGUCCAGCAGCCUCGUACGAUCUCCAUGGCAGUACGAUUUGACACGACGACGGAUGUAUAUGGAAG
rnacentral:lncRNA from 1 species